CAGAUAGAGAAACGGAGAUGGAAGAAAGAAGUGUAAGCAAAACCUGUAAUUAUCUGUACCUGAGGGGACCUAAUGGACGCUCACACCUGUUCACCUGUCCUAUUAACCUAACUUAUUCUAUCCACUUGUCCUAUUUAAUCCACUUGUAUCAUUUUCUUGACCUAUGCACCUGUUCUAUCCUUCUGUUCUGUUCUGUUCACCUGUCCUAUCCACCUGUCCUGUCCACCUGUUCCACCCACCUGUGCUAUUCUGUUCACCUGUCCACUCAUUCACCUUUAUGAGUAGCGGGGCCUCUUCUUCAGUGGCUCCUCAUCAUCAUCUUCUGAGCGCACUAUGAUGACGCUGUCCUCUUCCCUACACAGCCUCAGGUUCAGGCUAAAGGGGAUUGAGAACAGUUUUAAAGGAGUCGAGUCUGAGGUUAAGUGAAUCGAGUCAGAGUCAAAGGACACCGAAUCUGAAUUUAAGGGAGUCGAGUUUGCGUUUAAGGGGGACGAGUCCGAGUUAGAGGGAAUCGAAUCCGAAUUUUGAGGAAUCGAAUCCGAAUUUUGGGGAACUGAAUCCGAAGUUAAAGGAAUCGAGUCUUCAUGUGAGGGAGUCCGAUCGCCCAUCACGCCGCUGGACGAGGAAAGGAGACUGAUCCACCAGGCCACUCCAUUGGGCGGCCACUUCACUGCGUUACUCCACUGCCCCACCAGCGCCUGCACGCCCUCGGAGGAGACGUACCAGACCCGCGUAGGUCGCCAUUCGGCCCAGUCGUCCCGCCUCUGGAAGAAGACCAUAUACCCCUCAUCCUCUGGCCUCAUGGGCCACGUCGGGGGAGAGAUGGUCGUGGAAGAGGACGAGGGCGGUGAGGUACUCGGGUCCUCAGAGAAAGAAGUGGACCUGGUUCUCUUUGGCAUGUUGGUUUUCAAAGGACUCGUCAAAGUGUUGUUCUGAAGACAAAGAUGGCAGUGAGGGGGGGCAGCACAGUGUUCAUUGAUGCCUCGGCACUUGGGGAGCUGACGAGCCAGCUGACGUCCCAAGACCUAGAGAGUCUUGUGGGCAACAUCCAGCCGGCAGACUUGAAGGCUCUGCAGGAGGCAACUGAGGGUCAUGUGGUGGACACUCCUGGAGUGCUCAUCUCUGAUGGGGUGACAGUGGGCAACAUUGUGGAGGUGGAGGGUGUAGAGAGCGGAGUGCUGGAAGAGUCUCAGCAGCUGGACUCCCAUGCUCACCACCAGCCAAUGGAAGUGGACACCCUCACUGACCAUGACCAGGUCAUUGGUGAAAUGGACAUGCUGCAACAGGGUGGUGAGCUGAUUGGCAUGGCAGGAGAGGAGAUGUCCACAGGCGGUGAGGCUGCCACCACCUCGGCUCUGCUGGCUUCUGUGUCUUCGGGUGACUCCUCUUCCUCCCAGAUAGUUUCAGAGACGCCACAGCUCAUAAAGAGCAGCUUGGGCCAGUUUGUAGUUCUGCAGCAGAACCAGCAGAAUAACAUCUCUAUUGGUUCUAUGGCCAACCGAAUCAUCACAUCGGGCGGCCAGGUGGUGAGCACAGUGUCGGGCCCUAGCAGCAGCAACAACAGCAAGCCGGUGGUGGUGAACACAUCUCAGCUCAGUGGGGGAGUGAGGCAGCAGAUGGUGGUCACCUCGCAGGCCCACCCAGUGCGGACGGUGCAGUUCAAGCAGUCAUCGCAGACCCAGUCACACAACAGCAGCGGUACGGUGACCAAGGUGAUCAUCGGCAGUCAGGCUGGCGGGGGCAUGAGCAACAUUGGGAGCCAGCAGGUGCGCCUCAUCACCAGCCAGAGUGGUAAUACUGCAGCCUCCCCUGCCAAGCUGACCUUGCAGCAGGCACAGCAUGUGGGCUUCUUGCCAUCCUCCAAGCCACAGGGCCAAUCUCCAAACAAAAUUGUUGUGCAGCGGGUGAGUAUGGGUGGAGUGUCCCCUGUGAAGAGUCCCAAUAAGUUGGUCCCUGUGUCCUCCAAGUCACCCACCAAAAUUGCCCCAGCCCCUCCUUCCACACAGCAGAUUUUAACUCAAGUGAGCAGUGGUGGAGCUGUGAGGAACAUUCUUUCAAGUCCUCAGAAGAUUGUCAUAAAGAGCAAUAUUCCUCAACCUGGACAGGGGACAGUGAGCACCGUCCGGAGUGGCCAGAUUGUCACUUCUGGGGGACAGCAGGUCAUCAAGAUUCCAGCCAAUCAAGUGCAGCAACUGACAGCACAGCAGCAAAAUGUGCAAGUUCUCUCCAAUAAGGGGAACAAGCAGCGGGUGAUCAUCCCAGUGUCCGGCUCAGGCUCGUCCAAUGUGUCAGGUGGGAUGCCUCAGACCAACCUGACCCUCCCAGCCUCUGCCCUGCCCCCAGGAGUCCUUUCCAACACCCAGCCAGGUUCAGUGGUUAUGAUCCCAGCUCACUACAUGUCACAGCUUCAGUCAAACACUACAAGCAACAGCACAAUUCAAGCAUCAAACCAGAUUCCUCCAGGAACCAUCAUCCCACACACCACAAAGCCACAGCCUUCUCGCACAAUCAUUGAUGCAAAUGGGAUCAGACCAAGAAAACCUUGCAACUGUAAAAAGAGCCAGUGUCUUAAAUUAUACUGUGAUUGCUUUGCAAAUGGAGAAUUUUGCAACAACUGUAAUUGUGCAAACUGUUUCAACAAUUUAAAUCAUGAGGAGGAUAGACAGAAAGCAAUCAAGGCAUGUUUGGAUAGAAAUCCCCAAGCUUUCCGGCCAAAGAUUGGCAAAGGUGGAAGCGAUAAUGAAAGGAGACACAACAAAGGCUGCAACUGUAAGCGGUCUGGGUGCCUGAAGAACUACUGUGAAUGUUAUGAGGCCAAGAUCCCAUGCUCCAACAUGUGCAAGUGUGUGGGCUGCAAGAAUGUGGACAUGACACCAGCACUGGAGAGGAAGGGACUGAUGCAGCUGGCCAAAUGUGCUGAAGCACGGGUCAAUCAGCAGAAGGCCGUUAAAUCAAAAUUACCUUCAUUCUCACAUCACUCACCCAAUAAAAUGAUUCUUCCUACCACUUCAAAAUCUGGUUACUAUCGAAUGAACAAGGAGGUGGUGGAGGCAACAUGCCAGUGUUUGCUAGCACAGGCAGACAAGGCAGAGGGAGCCUUGGUGUCAGCUGCUCAGUUGGAACAAACUGUCAUCUCGGAGUUCUCACGAUGCCUAAUGCAGAUCAUUGGCAGCUACACGUCACGAUCUAGAGUUGUGAAGGAGAAUGUCAGUCUGGUAAUAUCUCGCCAGCUGCUCUCAGACGUCUCUACGCAACUCACAUCCAUGGCUGAUGGUGUGGCAAAGACAGUAGCCCACUUCACUCUUGAUAAAGUUCAGCCUCAAGUCAUCAGCUUUAAGGAACAAGUGGCCAGCAUCAGGCAACACCUUGCUGACAUAUAUGAGAGGGAGAGUUCCUGGAGAGAAGCAGCAGCUGUUCUUACUGGAAUUCCUCUCGAAACAGGACAGAAGCAGUACAGUGUUGACUAUAAGCUGGAAACCUACCUCAAGAUUGCCCGCCUCUAUCUGGAGGAUGAUGACCCAGUGCAGGGAGAGGCAUAUAUUAACAGAGCCAGCAUCCUGCAGGCAGAGUCCAAGAAUGAACAGCUGCUCAUCUACUACAAAGUUUGUUAUGCAAGAGUUUUAGAUUACCGACGGAAGUUCAUAGAGGCAGCCCAGAGGUACAAUGAGUUGUCUUACCGACCCAUCAUUCAUGAGGAUGAGAGGAUGGAAGCUUUGAAGAAGGCUCUCAUCUGUACUGUCUUAGCUUCAGCAGGCCAGCAGCGAUCCAGGAUGCUGGGGAUGCUGUUCAAGGAUGAGCGUUGCCAAAAGCUGCCCUGUUAUCAUAUCCUGGAGAAGAUGCACCUUGACAGGAUCAUCCGCCACAAUGAACUCACAGAAUUUCAGAACAUGCUGCAGCCACAUCAGCAGGCCACCACAUCAGAUGGGUCUACCAUUCUGGACAGAGCUGUUACAGAACACAACCUGCUGGCAGCUAGCAAGCUUUAUAACAACAUAACAUUCUCUGAACUUGGGGCUCUCCUUCAAAUAUCUCCAGCAAAAGCUGAGAAAAUAGCCAGCCAGAUGAUUACUGAGGGACGCAUGAAUGGGUACAUUGAUCAGAUUGAUGGCAUCCUCCACUUUGAGGCACGUGAUGUCCUUCCUCAGUGGGAUAAGCAGAUCCAGUCUCUCUGUUUCCAAGUGAAUGGCAUCAUUGAAAAAAUCAAUAUUGCACAUCCAGAAUGGGUGGCUAAGGUUAUGGAUGAACAAAUGAUGCAAUGAUUGAACAAAUUCCAGACUAGUGUUAUAAUUUGUUCCAUCCACACUGGCGGCAGCUUCCAGCUUCAGGCGGGACAGUUGGAGCUCUCGGGUUGAGACGGGCACCAGGGGAGCGAGCCUCUGACGCGCGCCACACCGCCCCUCGCAAACACCACCCGCGCCUCCCUCACACCCUCGCCGAACACAACAAUACCCCAACGGCAGCAGUGGUUUUGUCCUUCGUAAGGAGUUGCUGGGUGUGGCCUUCAGUAGGAUAAUGAGGAUGGAAGCUGGCAGUGGUGACCACAUCAAGACGUGGCACCACAACACAAUGAAGGCCCGGAACGUGAACACACGAUGAUCCGCUUUGAGGAGGACAGUGUGGCAUUCUCUUGCCUCACAGCAGACUGCAAGAAACAAGAUCCUUCAACCCCAAUCACAGGAAGAGGCAGGAGGGAUGCGGCAGACAGCAGAUGAUGGCAGGUGACGGCAGCCUCGUGGUUCUCUUCCCUGUUCCUUGGUGGCGCUGCUUCACUCCUUACCGCCUGGUGUCCCCGCUCGGCUCUUUUCACGACUCGCAACGAGGGAGAAAGGUCGAAGUGCGGUGGUCUCGUGGCGGAGGGCUGAAGGAGGCGGUGAAGGAGUGAAGGUGUGAAGUGUGCAGCUUCCACUUCAUCAUCCCAUGAACAGCCCACAGGAAUCUCUACCAGCACCUGGUUAUUAAACAGUGUUGUCACGCCAGGCCCAAUGUACUCCAUUGCAAUCAGGGAGUCAAGCUUCACCAGGAAAAGAGGCAGAGCGUCACCACCUUCAAGCCCCACAAGAGGUAUUAAGUAUCGUUGGGACAAAGCAAUCAGGGAAGAGUCAAGUUGCAGUAAGAAGAGUGUGUCAAGAAUUUCAAGCAGGAAGAACACGUAAAAUUCCCUUCAAGUCAUGGCGGGACCGACAGGCAACCUUCAACACUUGUGGAGGCACGAGAGCUGCAGGCAGUUUCACAAAGAAGAGGUUGCUCAAGGUCACUCAAGUUGACGCAAGGACACAAGAAUUGGCAAGUGUUGUUGCUCCCAGGCCCUGCUGCAAGAGUUCUCCAGUCCACUCCAGUCUGGGAAGGAAGAAUGUAGCAAGUCCUUCUCUUCUGUACUCAACAACCACCACCACCACCUUCAUUCAGGCUUGGGAUAAGUUUUGUACAUUCCAGCACUUCAGUAAUAAGGAAAAAAAGUGCCAUGUUUUUA